AAGACGUCUACAUUAGAUACCCCCGUAGUCCCAGCCGUAAACGAUGUGCGUUAGGUGUAUCGACGACCACGAGUUGUCGAGGUGCCGAAGGGAAACCGUGAAACGUACCGCCUGGGAAGUACGGUCGCAAGGCUGAAACUUAAAGGAAUUGCGGGGAGCACCACAACAGGUGGAGCCCUGCGGUUUAAUUGGACUCAACGCCGGACAUCUCACCGGAUAAGACAGCUGAAUGAUUGCCGGGCUGAAGACUCUGCAUGACUAGCUG
rnacentral:rRNA from 1 species